rnacentral:rRNA from 1 species
CCUACGGGAGGCAGCAGUGAGGAAUAUUGGUCAAUGGACGGAAGUCUGAACCAGCCAUGUCGCGUGCAGGAAGACGGCUCUAUGAGUUGUAAACUGCUUUUGUACAAGGGUAAACCUGAAUACGUGUAUUCAGCUGAAAGUACUGUACGAAUAAGGAUCGGCUAACUCCGUGCCAGCAGCCGCGGUAAUACGGAGGAUCCAAGCGUUAUCCGGAUUUAUUGGGUUUAAAGGGUGCGUAGGCGGAUUGAUAAGUUAGCGGUGAAAUGUCCGAGCUUAACUCGGGAACUGCCUCUAAUACUGGUGAUCUAGAGAGUAGAUGCGGUAGGCGGAAUGUAUGGUGUAGCGGUGAAAUGCUUAGAUAUCAUACAGAACACCGAUUGCGAAGGCAGCUUACCAAUCUAUAUCUGACGUUGAGGCACGAAAGCGUGGGGAGCGAACAGGAUUAGAUACCCCGGUAGUC